UACGUAGGGUGCGAGCGUUAAUCGGAAUUACUGGGCGUAAAGCGUGCGCAGGCGGUUUUGUAAGACAGGCGUGAAGUCCCCGGGCUCAACCUGGGAACUGCGCUUGUGACUGCAAGGCUAGAGUACGGCAGAGGGGGGUGGAAUUCCACGUGUAGCAGUGAAAUGCGUAGAUAUUUGGAGGAACACCGAUGGCGAAGGCAGCCCCUGGGCUAACACUGACGCUCAUGCACGAAAGCGUGGGGAGCAAACAGGAUUAGAAACCCUAGUAGU
rnacentral:rRNA from 1 species